GUGCCCACUUCGGCAGCACAUAUACUAAAAACGGAAUGGUACGGAGAUCAGCACGGCCCCUGUGCAAGGUUGACACGAAAAAUUAUGAAGCCUUCCCCACCAAA
rnacentral:snRNA from 1 species